AUUGAACGCUGGCGGCAUGCCUUACACAUGCAAGUCGAACGGCAGCACGGGAGCAAUCCUGGUGGCGAGUGGCGAACGGGUGAGUAAUAUAUCGGAACGUGCCCAGUCGUGGGGAUAACGUAGCGAAAGCUACGCUAAUACCGCAUACGAUCUAUGGAUGAAAGCGGGGGAUCGCAAGACCUCGCGCGAUUGGAGCGGCCGAUAUCAGAUUAGGUAGUUGGUGAGGUAAAGGCUCACCAAGCCGACGAUCUGUAGCUGGUCUGAGAGGACGGACCAGCCACACUGGGACUGAGACACGGCCCAGACUCCUACGGAGGCAGCAGUGGGGAAUUUUGGACAAUGGGCGCAAGCCUGAUCCAGCAAUGCCGCGUGCA
rnacentral:rRNA from 1 species